rnacentral:rRNA from 1 species
AUUGAACGCUGGCGGCAUGCUUUACACAUGCAAGUCGAGCGGCAGCGCGGGGGCAACCCUGGCGGCGAGCGGCGAACGGGUGAGUAAUGCAUCGGAACGUAUCCUCGAGUGGGGGAUAACCCAGCGAAAGUUGGGCUAAUACCGCAUGAGCUCUGAGGAGGAAAGCGGGGGACCUGCGAGGGCCUCGCGCUGGAGGAGCGGCCGAUGUCCGAUUAGCUAGUUGGUGGGGUAAAGGCUUACCAAGGCGACGAUCGGUAGCAGGUCUGAGAGGAUGAUCAGCCACACUGGGACUGAGACACGGCCCAGACUCCUACGGGAGGCAGCAGUGGGGAAUUUUGGACAAUGGGGGCAACCCUGAUCCAGCCAUGCCGCGUGAGUGAAGAAGGCCUUCGGGUUGUAAAGCUCUUUCGGACGGAACGAAAUGGGCGGGACUAAUACUCCUGUCUGAUGACGGUACCGUAAGAAGAAGCACCGGCUAACUACGUG